rnacentral:tRNA from 1 species
CGGGCCGUCGCCAAGGAAAAGCAUGGCGCGAAGCUCAUGGGCAUCGACGUGGAACGGGUGUACGCGCUGUCGUUCGGGAUCGGCAUGGCCUGC